rnacentral:rRNA from 1 species
AAAGAAUUGAACAAGACUCACAAAAAUAACACUAGUGCACCUAGUCCUUCUAGAAAGAAAAGGAAGAAGAAAAAUGAUAGGACUUUGCACACUUCUAGUGGACCUGAAAUAGAAAAACCUCCUGAUAAUGAAAAUGAAACUUCUAUCUCUGAUGCUGAAACCCAAUCUGGUAAUGAACACUCACCUAGUGAUAAUGAAAAAGAUAAUGAUGAGGUUCAUGAAGACACUCAACCAAAUAAUAAUAAAGAACCAAACAAUGAUGUUGAGAUAGAACCACCUCCGGAUCUUGAUAACCCACAACCUAAGAAUAAAAGAUAUGAUAAAAGAGGCUUUGUGGCUAGGAAACACGGUAAAGAAAGAGAGCCUUGGGUUCAAAAACCUAUGCCUUUUCCACCCAAGUCAACUAAAAAGAAUGAUGAUGAAGAAUUUGAACGCUUUGCUGAAAUGCCGAGGCCAGUCUUUUUGCGUACCCGCUUGACUGAUAUCUUGAAAAUGCCUCCUUAUGCAAAGUAUAUGAAAGACAUCAUCACUAAUAAGAGAAAAAUACCGAAA